GUGGGGAAUAUUGGACAAUGGGGGGAACCCUGAUCCAGCCAUGCCGCGUGUGUGAAGAAGGCCUUUUGGUUGUAAAGCACUUUAAGCGAGGAGGAGGCUCUUCUAGUUAAUACCUAGGAUGAGUGGACGUUACUCGCAGAAUAAGCACCGGCUAACUCUGUGCCAGCAGCCGCGGUAAUACAGAGGGUGCGAGCGUUAAUCGGAUUUACUGGGCGUAAAGCGUACGUAGGCGGCUUUUUAAGUCGGAUGUGAAAUCCCUGAGCUUAACUUAGGAAUUGCAUUCGAUACUGGGAAGCUAGAGUAUGGGAGAGGAUGGUAGAAUUCCAGGUGUAGCGGUGAAAUGCGUAGAGAUCUGGAGGAAUACCGAUGGCGAAGGCAGCCAUCUGGCCUAAUACUGACGCUGAGGUACGAAAGCAUGGGGAGCAAACAGGAUUAGAAACCCCAGUAGUCC
rnacentral:rRNA from 1 species